UACGUAGGGGGCGAGCGUUGUCCGGAAUUAUUGGGCGUAAAGAGCGUGUAGGCGGUUCGGUAAGUCUGUCGUGAAAACCUGAGGCUCAACCUCGGGCGUGCGAUGGAUACUGCCGGGCUAGAGGAUGGUAGAGGCGGAAGUGGAAUUCCCGGUGUAGCGGUGAAAUGCGCAGAUAUCGGGAGGAACGACCAGAGCGAAGGCGGAGCUCGCUGGGCCGUUCCGUGGCACGCUGAGA
rnacentral:rRNA from 1 species